AUAGAUAUAGUUAGGAAAUGUCCACAGAGACUUUACUAAGUGAUCAAAAUUUUCAUACUUUAAUGGUGAAAGAAAAAAACAAAGAAACCCAGCAAUUGUCGAUAACUCCUCUCAACCUAAUUCAAACUUCAUAUUUUCCUCUAUGUAUUGGGAAGGGUACUGUACAUAACCAUAAGCUGACCAAGGCAAAAAAAUACCCAAACAAUUCCAUCCUAUCUCUUGUUCUUUUUUCUGUUUGCAACACUCAAGAACACCUCCGGUGGAAGUGUUGUUUCUCAUUUUCCGGCAAAGCAAGGAGUCACACCAACAUCUUCGUUUCCCAUUUCUUAUGUGUUGACCGAAGCAAACGAACCACCCACUGCCGCCUUUUGUAACCACCGGAAAACCACCAUCCUAAAAUUAUCGGGCAUACAUACAGCCAAGUACCCUCAAAACAUCACCACCCACUGCCUCUAUCGUUUUAUUGGAGCUUCUCCACCGAUAACCACUCGAAAUCGCCACCCACCACCCAUUUCCGGUGAAGAAAUCACCCAACAGCUCCCUCCUCUGUAGUUCUGCUGUUUCUAUUCACCACCACCCCCUCCCUUACCUCCGCUCUCCGUAUCCGUCAAGCAUAAGCCAGGACGAAGCAGCAGAAGGUCGCUAGAUCAACCCCCUGCCGCUCAACGCCGCCAAUAUCCACUAUCAUCGGACUUGUUGCUGCCGACGCCAACCACUCACGACCACCGCCUACCCUCUGUAAGCCCUUUUGCCAUCACCAUCAUUCGUGUUUUAGCCCUUACGAACAACCGAGGCCAUGAGACCCAGCAGAUGGGUCUCGUUUCCCUUGAUUCGACUGUGAAUCACGUACAAGAACGUGGAAGACGAACUGUGCAAACAUUGAUACAGUUUAUUUCGAUCUAGCCCUAAACUAUGUUGCUUUUACGAACCUAGUCCCUCCUUGUGAAAUAAAUCACAUUCAAGUCAAACUGUCAUAUAAUAUAGACAAGAUUAACCCCUCCUUUCGAAAACCUUACCAAGAUGAGUCCGAAAUUUGCAACUUAGGCUGUGAAUGUACAAUUUUAGUCCCUGCCUUGGAAAAAUAUUACAAGAACAGUCCAUCGUUGAAUAAUUUUAACAAAAUAAAUCCGUAGAAUUUAUUUACUUUAUCAAAGACCACCCUAUACUUAAUAAUUAAUACCAAAACUACCCUUUUUGGUUUAUUAGGUAAUACAAAUAGACCCGGUCAUUCGGUUUAAGGGCAUAAAACGUCACGGAACGACAUUCACGACAAAUUCACUCUCGAGCCUCGUUCACGCUUCAAGGGUGAGUGUUACGACCCCUUUUUAUGUUUUAUUAUUUUGGGGGGAAUACAUGUGAAAUAUACAUAAAUAUAUCUUCCAAUUAUGAAAUGUGUUUAUAAAAAUGCUAAAUAUAUAUCGGUUAUGGAAUACGCAUAUAAAAAAAUAUAUCUAGUUUUAAUACUUAUUAUUGUCAAAAUAAUGUAUUAUAUACUGAUUUCUUUACAAUAUACAUGUGUUUAAGAAUAUUUAAUCAUGUGCAUAAUUUAUUUUGCUUACAUCGAGCAUGUACAAACAUAUUUAUUAAUUAUAUAUGUAUAAAUUAUAACAAUUAUAUCUUGGAAAUCAUUCAUCCAUGUGAAGAAACAUUUUAUCUAUUUAAGCGAGUGACAUACAUUUUUACGGAUUUAACGAAAUUAUUCAGCUUUUAUAGUGAAACUUUACCGUAUAACCUAGUUAAUGGCUUCUAUAGUGAGACAGUAUUCAUUACCUAGGUUUAACCACUUAGUAUUCCCAUUUAACUAUAACUGUUAAUCCUCGGAGCGAGAUACGUAUGUAUAGAUCUAUACGGGUUGACACCCCUACCUGCGGUUGCUAGCUACAACCUCGACUGAUCAAUCGAAGCGGGUGAAUAUUUAUCUUUGGUAUAACUACGAUGUCUAAUGAAGCGUUGUGCAGGGAUUAUAAUUGGUCACAUAGCUCGGUUAUAGGACUCACUAUAGGCAUUAACUAGACUCUUUAACUAGAAACCACGGAUCCGGUUUCUCUGUUUAUCAAGCAUUUUAAGUAUGGAAUUACUUAUGGUAUAACUCUUUAUCAAGCAUUUUAAGUAUGGAUUUACUUAUGGUUUAACUCUUUAUCGAGCAUUUUAAGUAUGGACUUACUUAUGGUAUAACUCUUUAUCAAGCAUUUUAAGUAUGGAUUUACUUAUGGUUUAACUCUUUAUCAAGCAUUUUAAAUAUGGAUUUACUUAUGGUUUAACUCUUUAUCAAGCAUUUAAAGUAUGGGUUUACCUAUGUUUUAUCACUUUAUCAAACAUUUUAAGUAUGGAUUUACUUAUGAUUCAUCUCUUUAACAAAUAUUUCAAGUAUAGAUAUAUUUGUGAUUUAACUCUUUAUCAAACAACAAAAGAAAUACUUUCUAGACUUAUAAAGUAUCAUUACUGUGGUUAGCAGAAAACCUGUAACUCUCACCAACCUUUGUGUUGACCCUCAAAUCACAUGUAUUCUCAGGAGAUCGGUGAACCAGCCUUUAACAGAAGAUUUGUUCAUGGAUUUUCAGGCAAUCUAGUCUCAUUUAGUUUUUGUUAUGUCGGCCUAAUUGUUAUCGCGGAUUUAUGAACAAAUUAAUAUAUGUAUGAACCUUGUAUUCGAACUUUAAACUUGAAUGUAACCGCUAUGUUGUUAUUGUUGUAACUUGUGAUGUAUAUUCAAUUUGCUUGGGAUCCAUGAACUAAGUCGCACAGCCCGGCGUAUUUCGCCGCCUCGGCCGGGGGUGUGACACCUUCGGUCCUAACGACCGAACUUCGGGACUAUUCCCCUCCUACUACCACUACCACGUCUAACAUAUCAUGCCAACAUAUAAACAUAUCAUCACAUACUGUCAGACAUAUCUGGGGUGUCUGACCUACCCUUCGGUCCUAACAACCGAACUCU
rnacentral:lncRNA from 1 species